rnacentral:rRNA from 1 species
AUGACUGCCCUAUGGGUUGUAAACUUCUUUUAUAAGGGAAGAAUAAGUUCUACGUGUAGAAUGAUGCCUGUACCUUAUGAAUAAGCAUCGGCUAACUCCGUGCCAGCAGCCGCGGUAAUACGGAGGAUUCAAGCGUUAUCCGGAUUUAUUGGGUUUAAAGGGUGCGUAGGCGGUUUAUUAAGUUAGUGGUUAAACGUCAGAGCUAAACUUUGAUUUGCCAUUAAUACUGGUAAACUGGAGUACAGACGAGGUAGGCGGAAUAAGUUAAGUAGCGGUGAAAUGCAUAGAUAUAACUUAGAACUCCGAUAGCGAAGGCAGCUUACCAGGCUGUAACUGACGCUGAAGCACGAGAGCGUGGGUAGCGAACAGGAUUAGAUACCCUGGUAGUCCACGCCGUAAACGAUGCUCACUGGUUCUGUGCGAUAUAUUGUCGGGAUUAAGCGAAAGUAUUAAGUGAGCCACCUGGGGAGUACGUCGGCAACGGUGAAACUCAAAGGAAUUGACGGGGGCCCGCACAAGCGGAGGAACAUGUGGUUUAAUUCGAUGAUACGCGAGGAACCUUACCUGGGUUUAAAUGGGAAAUGUCGUAUUUGGAAACAGAUAUUCUCUUCGGAGCGUUUUUCAAGGUGCUGCAUGGUUGUCGUCAGCUCGUGCCGUGAGGUGUCGGGUUAAGUCCCAUAACGAGCGCAACCCCUACCGUUAGUUGCCAUCAGGUGAAGCUGGGCACUCUGGCGGGACUGCCGGUGUAAGCCGUGAGGAAGGUGGGGAUGACGUCAAAUCAGCACGGCCCUUACACCCAGGGCUACACACGUGUUACAAUGGCCGGUACAGAGGGCCGCUACCAGGUGACUGGAUGCCAAUCUCAAAAGCCGGUCG